rnacentral:rRNA from 1 species
GGUGCUAAUACCGGGUAUACUGCAUAGAUCGCAUGUUUUUUGCAGGAAAGCGGGCCUCUGGAACAAGCUCGUGCUGAUAGAUAGACCUGCGUUCCAUUAGUUAGUUGGUAGGGUAACGGCCUACCAAGGCAGCGAUGGGUAGCCGGCCUGAGAGGGUGACCGGCCACACUGGGACUGAGAUACGGCCCAGACUCCUACGGGAGGCAGCAGUGAGGAAUAUUGCGCAAUGGACGAAAGUCUGACGCAGCAACGCCGCGUGAGGGAUGAAGCUUUUCGGAGUGUAAACCUCUGUUAGGAGGGAAGAACGUCUAUUAUUCGAACAGGGUGAUAGAGUGACGGUACCUCCAGAGAAAGCCCCGGCUAACUCCGUGCCAGCAGCCGCGGUAAUACGGGGGGGGCGAACGUUGUCCGGAAUUAUUGGGCGUAAAGGGCGCGUAGGCGGGAAGGUCAGUCAGAGGUGAAAGCUUGUGGCUUAACUGCAAGUUUGCCUUUGAUACUGCCAUUCUUGAGUUCGGAAGAGGGAAGUGGAAUUCCUGGUGUAGCGGUGAAAUGCGUAGAUAUCAGGAAGAACACCGGUGGCGAAGGCGGCUUCCUGGUCCGAUACUGACGCUGAUGCGCGAAAGCGUGGGGAGCAAACAGGAUUAGAUACCCUGGUAGUCCACAGCUGUAACGAUGGGUACUAGGUGUCGGGUUUAAUUACCUCAGGCGCCGGAGCUAACGCAUUAAGUACCCCGACUGGGGAAUACGAUCGCAAGAUUGAAUCUCUAAGGUAUUUGACGGGGGCCCGCACAAGCGGUGGAGCAUGUGGUUUAAUUCGAUGCUACGCGAAGAACCUUACCUGGGGCUUGAACUGUAGGUGACGUAUCCUGAAAGGGAUAUUCUCUUCGGAGCACCUUAUAGAGGUGCUGCAUGGCUGUCGUCAGCUCGUUCCGUGAGGUGUUGGGUUAAGUCCCGCAACGAGCGCAACCCCUGUUCCUAGUUGCCAGCAUUUAAGGUGGGAACUCUAGGGAGACUGCCCCGGACAACGGGGAGGAAGGUGGGGAUGACGUCAAGUCAUCAUGGCC